rnacentral:rRNA from 1 species
GGAAUUUUGGGCAAUGGGCGAAAGCCUGACCCAGCAACGCCGCGUGAAGGAUGAAGUAUUUCGGUAUGUAAACUUCGAAAGAAUAGGAAGAAUAAAUGACGGUACUAUUUAUAAGGUCCGGCUAACUACGUGCCAGCAGCCGCGGUAAUACGUAGGGACCAAGCGUUGUUCGGAUUUACUGGGCGUAAAGGGCGCGUAGGCGGCUCUGUAAGUCACUUGUGAAAUCUCUGAGCUUAACUCAGAACGGCCAAGUGAUACUGCAGUGCUAGAGUGCAGAAGGGGCGAUCGGAAUUCUCGGUGUAGCGGUGAAAUGCGUAGAUAUCGAGAGGAACACCUGCGGCGAAGGCGGGUUGCUGGGCUGACACUGACGCUGAGGCGCGAAAGCUAGGGGAGCGAA